GAGGAGGCAGACAUGAUGGGGGAAUUAAAAGAAGUUUAGGAUAGUCACUCCAAGWCAUGAAUAGGGUAGAACUCCACAUKUGAAACAUUGGAUUUUCCCCCAGUUGUCUUACUGUAACUGGAGCACUUCCACUGCUGAGGCAUCGUCGUACCUGACAUGAGGGGAAUGCACCGGUUAACACUCUGUGUUAAACACUGAUGUUUCCAGAAAGCAGGCAAUUGAACUGGACCUUCAACUCAACCAUCUGCUCCCAGUUCAAAUGACAUCUGUGGCAGCAGCUGAACAGGGAAGUUGAAGAGAGCAAAGCCAAUUCAAAUGUCACCAUGAUGCUAUCAUCGAGGAACAAAUAUGCAUCUCCGAGGAAAACACACCAAAAUCAUAGGAUCCACUACAAUACUGGGAAAUGCAAAGACUACGUAUGCAACCAUAUACAAACUUGCAAUUAAAUUUCUAUGUAUGCCGUCAUCAUAAGUGCCCUGUGAAAGCGUGUUCUCAAAAGCAGGAGAAAUGGUUUGUAAAUGGAACAACCG